GACGAACGCUGGCGGCGUGCUUAACACAUGCAAGUCGAACGGAAAGGCCCUGCUUUUGUGGGGUGCUCGAGUUGCGAACGGGUGAGUAACACGUGAGUAACCUGCCCCUGACUUUGGGAUAACUUCAGGAAACUGGGGCUAAUACCGGAUAGGAGCUCCUGCUGCAUGGUGGGGGUUGGAAAGUUUCGGCGGUUGGUGAUGGACUCGCGGCCUAUCAGCUUGUUGGUGGGGUAGUGGCUUACCAAGGCUUUGACGGGUAGCCGGCCUGAGAGGGUGACCGGCCACAUUGGGACUGAGAUACGGCCCAGACUCCUCCGGGAGGCAGCGGUGGGGAAUAGUGCACAAUGGGCGGAAGCCUGAUGCAGCAACGCCGCGUGCGGGAUGACGGCCUUCGGGUUGUAAACCGCUUUCGCCUGUGACGAAGCGUGAGUGACGGUAAUGGGUAAAGAAGCACCGGCUAACUACGUG
rnacentral:rRNA from 1 species